UUGUCAGCCGCAGCCUCAGCAA
rnacentral:misc_RNA from 1 species